rnacentral:lncRNA from 1 species
UGGCCCGGGGACCACAGAUUGGAAGCAGGCAGUCACUGGUCGUGGACAGGAAGACUCUCUCCGGCCAUCUCAGGUUGUACUUUCUCCAGCUGGCCCUAUGGCGGAGGCUAGGCCAGCUGAGCUGCAUGUCCAGACCUGCUCUGAAACUGCGCUCCUGGCUGCUGACCAUCCUCUACUACCUCCUGCCCUUCCGUGUGCUCAGGCCCCACAGCCAGGUGGGAUGGAGGCCCCUGAGCAGGGUGUUCCUGUAUAAAACUGUGCCAACUCGUUUGCUGUCACGUGCCUGUGGUCGCCUCAACCAAGUAGAACUUCCUUACUGGCUCCGGAGGCCAGUCUACAGCCUGUAUAUCUGGACCUUUGGGGUGAACAUGACUGAGGCUGCAGUGGAGGACCUGCACCACUACCACAACCUCAGCGAGUUCUUCUGGCGUAAGCUGAAGCCUCAGGCACAGCCUGUCUGCGAUUUGCACUGUGUGACCAGCCCAUCAAAUGGCAAGAUCCUCACCUUUGGGCAGGUGAAGAACUCUGAGGUGGAGCAGGUAAAGGGCGUAACCUACUCCUUGGAGUCCUUCCUGGGCCCUCGAGCCAGUACAGAAGACCUGCCCUUCCCUCCAGCUUCCUCCAGUGACUCCUUCAGAAACCAGCUGGUCCCCCGAGAAGGGAAUGCGCUCUACCACUGAGUCAUCUACCUGGCCCCAGGAGACUACCACUG